CAAGUCGAACGGCAGCACAGCAGUAGCAAUACUGUGGGUGGCGAGUGGCGGACGGGUGAGGAAUACAUGGGAAUCUGCCCUGUCGUGGGGGAUAACGUAGGGAAACUUACGCUAAUACCGCAUACGACCGGAAGGUGAAAGCGGCGGACCGCAAGGCGUCGCGCGACUGGAUGAGCCCAUGUCGGAUUAGCUAGUUGGCGGGGUAAAGGCCCACCAAGGCGACGAUCCGUAGCUGGUCUGAGAGGAUGAUCAGCCACACUGGAACUGAGACACGGUCCAGACUCCUACGGGAGGCAGCAGUGGGGAAUAUUGGACAAUGGGCGCAAGCCUGAUCCAGCCAUGCCGCGUGAGUGAAGAAGGCCUUCGGGUUGUAAAGCUCUUUUGUCCGGAAAGAAAAGCCUUCGGUUAAUACCCGGGGGUUCUGACGGUACCGGAAGAAUAAGCACCGGCUAACUUCGUGCCAGCAGCCGCGGUAAUACGAAGGGUGCAAGCGUUACUCGGAAUUACUGGGCGUAAAGCGUGCGUAGGUGGUUCGUUAAGUCUGAUGUGAAAGCCCUGGGCUCAACCUGGGAAUGGCAUUGGAAACUGGCGAUCUAGAGUGCGGUAGAGGGUAGUGGAAUUCCCGGUGUAGCAGUGAAAUGCGUAGAGAUCGGGAGGAACAUCUGUGGCGAAGGCGACUGCCUGGACCAGCACUGACACUGAGGCACGAAAGCGUGGGGAGCAAACAGGAUUAGAUACCCUGGUAGUCCACGCCCUAAACGAUGCGAACUGGGAUGUUGGGUGCAACU
rnacentral:rRNA from 1 species